rnacentral:rRNA from 1 species
UUAAGCGACUAAGCGUACACGGUGGAUGCCCUGGCAGUCAGAGGCGAUGAAGGGCGUGCUAAUCUGCGAUAAGCGCCGGUAAGGUGAUAUGAACCGUUAUAACCGGCGAUACCCGAAUGGGGAAACCCAGUGUGAUUCGUCACACUAUCAUUAACUGAAUCCAUAGGUUAAUGAGGCGAACCGGGGGAACUGAAACAUCUAAGUACCCCGAGGAAAAGAAAUCAACCGAGAUUCCCCCAGUAGCGGCGAGCGAACGGGGAGGAGCCCAGAGCCUGAAUCAGCAUGUGUGUUAGUGGAAGCGUCUGGAAAGGCGCGCGAUACAGGGUGACAGCCCCGUACACAAAAGCGCAUGUGCUGUGAGCUCGAUGAGUAGGGCGGGACACGUGGUAUCCUGUCUGAAUAUGGGGGGACCAUCCUCCAAGGCUAAAUACUCCUGACUGACCGAUAGUGAACCAGUACCGUGAGGGAAAGGCGAAAAGAACCCCGGCGAGGGGAGUGAAAAAGAACCUGAAACCGUGUACGUACAAGCAGUGGGAGCCCCACCACCAAAGCNGCUUUGGGGUGGGGUGACUGCGUACCUUUUGUAUAAUGGGUCAGCGACUUAUAUUCUGUAGCAAGGUUAACCGAAUAGGGGAGCCGGAGGGAAACCGAGUCUUAAUUGGGCGUUAAGUUGCAGGGUAUAGACCCGAAACCCGGUGAUCUAGCCAUGGGCAGGUUGAAGGUUGGGUAACACUAACUGGAGGACCGAACCGACUAAUGUUGAAAAAUUAGCGGAUGACCUGUGGCUGGGGGUGAAAGGCCAAUCAAACCGGGAGAUAGCUGGUUCUCCCCGAAAGCUAUUUAGGUAGCGCCUCGUGAAUUCAUCUCCGGGGGUAGAGCACUGUUUCGGCUAGGGGGCCAUCCCGGCUUACCAACCCGAUGCAAACUGCGAAUACCGGAGAAUGUUAUCACGGGAGACACACGGCGGGUGCUAACGUCCGUCGUGAAGAGGGAAACAACCCAGACCGCCAGCUAAGGUCCCAAAGUCAUGGUUAAGUGGGAAACGAUGUGGGAAGGCCCAGACAGCCAGGAUGUUGGCUUAGAAGCAGCCAUCAUUUAAAGAAAGCGUAAUAGCUCACUGGUCGAGUCGGCCUGCGCGGAAGAUGUAACGGGGCUAAACCAUGCACCGAAGCUGCGGCAGCGACGCUUAUGCGUUGUUGGGUAGGGGAGCGUUCUGUAAGCCUGUGAAGGUGGCCUGUGAGGGUUGCUGGAGGUAUCAGAAGUGCGAAUGCUGACAUAAGUAACGAUAAAGCGGGUGAAAAGCCCGCUCGCCGGAAGACCAAGGGUUCCUGUCCAACGUUAAUCGGGGCAGGGUGAGUCGACCCCUAAGGCGAGGCCGAAAGGCGUAGUCGAUGGGAAACGGGUUAAUAUUCCCGUACUUGGUGUUACUGCGAAGGGGGGACGGAGAAGGCUAUGUUGGCCGGGCGACGGUUGUCCCGGUUUAAGCGUGUAGGUGUGUGUUCCAGGUAAAUCCGGUUCACUUUAACACUGAGGCGUGAUGACGAGGCACUACGGUGCUGAAGCAACAAAUGCCCUGCUUCCAGGAAAAGCCUCUAAGCAUCAGGUAACAUCAAAUCGUACCCCAAACCGACACAGGUGGUCAGGUAGAGAAUACCAAGGCGCUUGAGAGAACUCGGGUGAAGGAACUAGGCAAAAUGGUGCCGUAACUUCGGGAGAAGGCACGCUGACACGUAGGUGAAGUGAUUUACUCAUGGAGCUGAAGUCAGUCGAAGAUACCAGCUGGCUGCAACUGUUUAUUAAAAACACAGCACUGUGCAAACACGAAAGUGGACGUAUACGGUGUGACGCCUGCCCGGUGCCGGAAGGUUAAUUGAUGGGGUCAGCGCAAGCGAAGCUCCUGAUCGAAGCCCCGGUAAACGGCGGCCGUAACUAUAACGGUCCUAAGGUAGCGAAAUUCCUUGUCGGGUAAGUUCCGACCUGCACGAAUGGCGUAAUGAUGGCCAGGCUGUCUCCACCCGAGACUCAGUGAAAUUGAACUCGCUGUGAAGAUGCAGUGUACCCGCGGCAAGACGGAAAGACCCCGUGAACCUUUACUAUAGCUUGACACUGAACAUUGAGCCUUGAUGUGUAGGAUAGGUGGGAGGCUUUGAAGCGUGGACGCCAGUCUGCGUGGAGCCGACCUUGAAAUACCACCCUUUAAUGUUUGAUGUUCUAACGUGGACCCGUNNNCCGGGUUGCGGACAGUGUCUGGUGGGUAGUUUGACUGGGGCGGUCUCCUCCUAAAGAGUAACGGAGGAGCACGAAGGUUGGCUAAUCCUGGUCGGACAUCAGGAGGUUAGUGCAAUGGCAUAAGCCAGCUUGACUGCGAGCGUGACGGCGCGAGCAGGUGCGAAAGCAGGUCAUAGUGAUCCGGUGGUUCUGAAUGGAAGGGCCAUCGCUCAACGGAUAAAAGGUACUCCGGGGAUAACAGGCUGAUACCGCCCAAGAGUUCAUAUCGACGGCGGUGUUUGGCACCUCGAUGUCGGCUCAUCACAUCCUGGGGCUGAAGUAGGUCCCAAGGGUAUGGCUGUUCGCCAUUUAAAGUGGUACGCGAGCUGGGUUUAGAACGUCGUGAGACAGUUCGGUCCCUAUCUGCCGUGGGCGCUGGAGAACUGAGGGGGGCUGCUCCUAGUACGAGAGGACCGGAGUGGACGCAUCACUGGUGUUCGGGUUGUCAUGCCAAUGGCACUGCCCGGUAGCUAAAUGCGGAAGAGAUAAGUGCUGAAAGCAUCUAAGCACGAAACUUGCCCCGAGAUGAGUUCUCCCUGAGACUUAGAGUCUCCUGAAGGAACGUUGAAGACGACGACGUUGAUAGGCCGGGUGUGUAAGCGCAGCGAUGCGUUGAGCUAACCGGUACUAAUGAACCGUGAGGCUUAACCUU